rnacentral:rRNA from 1 species
GAUGAACGCUAGCUACAGGCUUAACACAUGCGAGUCGCGGGGCAGCAUGGGGGUUGCUUGCCACUCCCGAUGGCGACCGGCGCACGGGUGAGUAACGCGUAUCCAACCUGCCCUUCACCACGGGAUAACCCGGCGAAAGUCGGACUAAUACCGUAUGUUGUCCAUUGACGGCAUCCGAUUUGGACGAAAGGCUUUGCGGUGAAGGAUGGGGAUGCGUCCGAUUAGCCAGACGGCGGGGUAACGGCCCACCGUGGCUACGAUCGGUAGGGGUUCUGAGAGGAAGGUCCCCCACACUGGAACUGAGACACGGUCCAGACUCCUACGGGAGGCAGCAGUGAGGAAUAUUGGUCAAUGGGCGUAAGCCUGAACCAGCCAAGUAGCGUGCAGGAUGACGGCCCUAUGGGUUGUAAACUGCUUUUAUGCGGGGAUAAAGUGGCCCACGUGUGGGCUUUUGCAGGUACCGCAUGAAUAAGGACCGGCUAAUUCCGUG